AGAGCGAACGCUGGCGGCAGGCCUAACACAUGCAAGUCGAGCGCCCGUAGCAAUACGGGAGCGGCAGACGGGAUAGUAACACGUGGGAACGCGCCCUUCGGUUCGGAAUAACUCAGGGAAACUUGAGCUAAUACCGGAUACGCCCUUACGGGGAAAGAUUUAUUGCCGAAGGAACGGCCCGCGUCCGAUUAGCUAGUUGGUGAGGUAAUGGCUCACCAAGGCGACGAUCGGUAGCUGGUCUGAGAGGAUGACCAGCAUCACUGGGACUGAGACACGGCCCAGACUCCUACGGGAGGCAGCAGUGGGGAAUAUUGGACAAUGGGCGCAAGCCUGAUCCAGCCAUGCCGCGUGGAUGAUGAAGGCCUUAGGGUUGUAAAGUCCUUUUAACGGGGAAGAUAAUGACGGUACCCGUAGAAUAAGCCCCGGCUAACUUCGUGCCAGCAGCCGC
rnacentral:rRNA from 1 species